rnacentral:lncRNA from 1 species
GUGAGAGAGUUUCCAGAAGAGAUUAGCAUUUGAAUCAGCAGACUGAGUAAAGAUCACCCUCACCCAUGCAGGUGGCCAUCAUUCUUUGAGGGCCUGAACAGAAGAAAAAGGCAGAGGAAGGAAGAAGUUGCUUUCUCUGUUUAAGCUGGGAUGGGCAUCUUCUCCUGUCGUCAGAGGAUGCAGCUUGCCUUGUUCCAUACUUGUACUGGCCAAAUUCAAGGAUGGCGAAAAGACUUAGAAGUGACAAAUACAUUUGCACAUUCAACUAACAGAACAGAAGGAGGCUAGAAAAAUCAGGUUGUAGAAAGGGAAAGAUUCAUCCUGAGCUAACGUCUAUGGCCAAUCUUCCUCAUUUUUUUUUUUCCUCCAAGAAGCCCCAGUGCAUAGUUGUACAACCUAGUUGUAAGUCAUUCUAGUUCUUCUAUCUGAGCCACCACCACAGCAUGACAACUGGCAGAUGGGUGGUGUGGCUCCAUGACCAGGAAGCGAACCCAGGCUGCCGAAGUGGUGAGCACCAAUCUUUAACCACUAGGCCAUCAG